rnacentral:misc_RNA from 1 species
AAGGGGAGGGUCGGCGGCCGGGUGCCAACAGCGCUGUGAUUGGGCGACCGGAGGUGACGCCGCUCAUGUUCAAGGCCAACCCCGAGCCGGCGUGGUCGCGGAGGCGGGAAAAGCGGACGAGCCGGUUGCCUUCUCACAGUCUUUUUCAGCAUUUCACUAGAAGUCUUACGUUCUUCACUGGUGGUGGCACUUGCGAUAACUUUAGGAGAUGGAGCUGGCAUACUGGAAUAUUCGUGGGCUCGCCCAGCCAAUUCGCCUUUUGUUGGAGUACACGGGGGAGAAAUAUGAAGACAAGAAGUUUGAGUGUGGCCCUGCCCCAGACUAUGACAAGUCAUGCUGGUUUGAUAUCAAAGAAAAACUGAAGCUGGACUUCCCCAAUCUGCCCUACCUGAUGGACGGCGACGUGGGCGUCACCCAGAGCAAUGCCAUCAUGCGCUACAUCGGCCGCAAGCACGACCUGCUCGGCAAGACGGAGCAGGAGCGUGUCCGCGUCGACAUCAUGGAGAACCAGGCGAUGGACUUCCGCAACGGCUGGGUGCGCCUCUGCUACAAUCCCAACUUUGACGACAUGAAGGAAGGCUACCUGAAGUCGGUCAAGGACGUGAUCGCCAAGUUCUCCAAGUUUCUCGGAGACAGACAGUGGUUCGCCGGAGAGAACCUGACGGUGGUCGAUUUCGUCAUGUACGAGCUGCUGGACCAGCACAAACUGCUGGAUGCCACGCUGGUUGAGGCGCACGACAACCUCACCAAGUUCAUGAAGCGCUUCGAGGAGCUGGAACCCAUCAAAGCUUACAUGGCCAGCGACCGGUUCAUGAAGGGACCGCUCAACAACAAAAUGGCCAAGUUUGGCGCCGAGUGACGGCAAUCAGUCUGGGCGGUGGGAUCGGCUAUCGGCGCGCGGGCUCAACUGACGGCACACUGGCCGCCGGACGCCUGUGCUGGCGGUCUGUGCUCAACUCUCAGUCAGAUGUGACAGUCAUGUGGAAUUUAGAUGUGAGGAAGCUGUGGCUAUUGUGUGUCGCACCUAGUUAGUGGGGAAACAUAGAUCUGCCGUUUGUCUCGAGACGAAUAAUCGUCGCUAGUGCCAAGAAUGCUACACUCUUUGUGUAUGCAGUUUGUUUCGAACCGUUUUAGCUGUGAUUUACUCCUUUGGCAAAUAUAUUUUUGUUUAUUUCGUUA